GCUUGUCUCAAAGAUUAAGCCAUGCAUGUCUAAGUAUAAAUAGUAUACAGUGAAACUGCGAAUGGCUCAUUAAAACAGUUAUAGUUUAUUUGAUAAUUGAAAAUUACAUGGAUAACCGUGGUAAUUCUAGAGCUAAUACAUGCUAUCAAGCCCGACUUCUUGAAGGGUUGUAUUUAUUAGUACCAGAACCAACCCAAGUUCUGCUUGGUUGCAUCCUGAUUCAUAAUAAACGAAUGGAUUGCAUGCUUUGGCUGGCAAUGUAGCAUCUAAGUUUCUGACCUAUCAGCUUCCGACGGUAAGGUAUUGGCUUACCGUGGCAAUGACGGGUAACGGAGAAUUAGGGUUUGAUUCCGGAGAGGGAGCCUGAGAAACGGCUACCACAUCUAAGGAAGGCAGCAGG
rnacentral:rRNA from 1 species